AGUGAACGCUGGCGGCAGGCCUAACACAUGCAAGUCGAGCGGCAGCGCGGGGGCAACCCUGGCGGCGAGCGGCGGACGGGUGAGGAAUUCGUCGGAAUCUGCCUUUUUGUGGGGGAUAACGUAGGGAAACUUACGCUAAUACCGCAUACGUCCUACGGGAGAAAGUGGGGGACCGCAAGGCCUCACGCAGAAAGAUGAGCCGACGACCGAUUAGCUAGUUGGUGGGGUAAAGGCCCACCAAGGCGACGAUCGGUAGCUGGUCUGAGAGGAUGAUCAGCCACACUGGGACUGAGACACGGCCCAGACUCCUACGGGAGGCAGCAGUGGGGAAUAUUGGACAAUGGGCGCAAGCCUGAUCCAGCCAUGCCGCGUGUGUGAAGAAGGCCCUCGGGUUGUAAAGCACUUUUGUCCGGAAAGAAAUCCCUGGAGCUAAUACCUUCGGGGGAUGACGGUACCGGAAGAAUAAGCACCGGCUAACUUCGUG
rnacentral:rRNA from 1 species